rnacentral:rRNA from 1 species
AACGAACGCUGGCGGCGUGCUUAACACAUGCAAGUCGCACGAGAAAGCUCUUCGGAGUGAGUAGAGUGGCGCACGGGUGAGUAAUGCAUAGGAACAUGCCCUUUGGUGGGGAAUAACCACGGGAAACUGUGGCUAAUACCGCAUAAGAUCUACGGAUGAAAGGUGGCCUCUAUUUAUAAGCUACCGCCAUUGGAUUGGCCUAUGUCGCAUUAGCUUGUUGGUAAGGUAACGGCUUACCAAGGCUACGAUGCGUAGCUGGUCUGAGAGGAUGAUCAGCCACACUGGGACUGAGACACGGCCCAGACUCCUACGGGAGGCAGCAGUGGGGAAUUUUGCACAAUGGAGGAAACUCUGAUGCAGCAACGCCGCGUGAAUGAAGAAGGCCCUUGGGUCGUAAAGUUCUUUCGUUAGGGAAGAAGGGUUUAGUAGUUAAUACCUGCUUUAUCUGACGGUACCUAAAUAAGAAGCACCGGCUAAUUUCG